GAUUAUUUGCAGACCUAAUAUAUAUGUGUAUAUAUAUAUGUAUGCGCGCGCGCGCGCGUGUGUGUGUGUGUGUGUGCUUAUUAUUCCGCAGUAGCCGCGAGUAGUUCGUGAGAUCGCUGCUAAGCGAGGGCGCGGCGCUUCUCCUUCUCGUGAAAAAAUUUACACCAAAAAGCCCAUAAAAGAAAGCUACCCAUAGCAACAAAUUAUCUCUCGAUGCAGUGUAUAGCAAGUAGCUUAAGGAUACUAAACGUAGACAGGAUCUUAUAUACAUGAUCGACCGUUCCCUGACGAUUCCAAUGCUAUACAAGUAUACAGAUACUGCGGGAUAUUUGCAGUAUUUACGCAAUCUACUGUUCCGAUAUCCUGCGGAACGUUCUCAGAAUCCACGUGUGCUGUGUGGUUAAAAGAUUUACUCAAGCGGAAAUGAUUCAAACGCCAUCUGCAUCGAUGUUUUCCGACCGAUCAUCUAUCGAUCUACGUGUGACAGACUCUCAGCCUCAUUCGUAAUUGAUAUUGAAGGUGACUGGAACCGCCUAAAUCGGUACUCAUUGUGUUGCGUUCGUCCGUCGCGAGAAACGCAAUCGAGAUUCAUCCCGUGACGAGAAACAGACAGAGACAGACAGACAGACAGAGAGAGAGAGAGAGAGAGAGAGAGAGAGAGAGAGAGAGAGAGAGAGAGAGAGAUUUAUUAUGCCCAAGCAUAGGCUGAAGGGCAAAGUAUGAGUUACAAAAGAAUGAAGAUAAAACAUCAAGAACAUAAAGAUAGAAGUAUAACGCAGAAUUAAUGAAACGCUACAUGAGAAUUACAGUAGUAAGGUAACUUAACCUAACCUAACCUAACUAAAAACUAAUAUUAAAACUAAGAACGCAAAGGACGAGUCUUAAGCAGAUUAAAAUCAAGAGUAAGCGUAAAAUAAAAAUAAAAUAAAAAUAAUAGCAUACGGCGUGCUACAGUGGUACAACGGAGAUCAGGCUAACUCAAAUGCUAGUAGAAAUAAUCGGAGGAGAAACUUGAAAGAUCCCAGUGAGGGAGCGGAAACAAUAUUGUCAGGAAGAGAGUGCCAGAAAUAAAUCGCGGAUAAAUGAAAGAAAUUACGAUAAGUAGUUCUAUGACAAGGAAUAUGAAAAAUAUGUGAUGAUGUCAAUGUGCAAUUAGAUCUCUCCUUAAUGAAGGAUCAAGAGGAAUAAAGAGUUCACUUAGAUAAGAGGGAGACUGAUGAUUAAGAAUGCGGUAAAUAAAGCAACCAAGGAAGAACAGCCUCCUAUUCUUAACAGAAAGCCACUCAAGACGACGUCUAAAUGGUGUGAUAUGUUCAUUACGCCUUAAACUGAAAAUAAAUCUGAUGCAACAGUUUCCGAGUCUUUGCAGCUUGAUGUUCAAAUCAUUGCUCAAUCCAUGAUAGAUCAGACAGCAGUAAUCGAUAUGAGGCAGUAUCAAGGUGUUUACGA
rnacentral:lncRNA from 1 species